rnacentral:tRNA from 1 species
GUUGUCGUGGCCGGGUGGUUAAGGCGGUGUACUAGAAAUCCAUUGGGCUCUGCCCGCACAGGUUCGAAUCCUUCCGACUACG